UUAAAACUUCGUAUGAAUGUAGCGAAUAUACACACUAGCUGUUUGUGUAAAUACAUGCAAGAUGUUAUAAAAGUGUAAUUUUUCCCAGGGCCUUACAUGUAAAUGUGCCUUGGGAUAUACAGUAUUUGCCAACAUAUCUUGUGAUUCACAUUGCAAUGACUCGAACUUUAAAUUUCCGUGUGGAAUGGCAGAGACCAAUAUAAUGUCUGUAUACAACACAGACAAUGAAAGAAUAAUAUCACAGACGGACGACACAUGUACGUCGAUUGAAUGCAGUUGUCUUUCAUUCACAUACAAUAAUACUCCAUCGGACGCAUACAUAUUCAAAUGGAAAACAUGCAUGGAUAAAGAAUUUUCCUUUCAACCCCUUUGCAAUAACCAUAACUUUUCAGUUGAUACCCAAUCUGCUGUAAUUCCGAACUCUGAGUAUAAAAG